rnacentral:rRNA from 1 species
CCUACGGGAGGCAGCAGUGGGGAAUAUUGGACAAUGGGCGCAAGCCUGAUCCAGCCAUGCCGCGUGUGUGAAGAAGGCCUUCGGGUUGUAAAGCACUUUUGUUCGGGAAGAAAUCGUGCGGAUUAAUACUUCGUACGGAUGACGGUACCGAAAGAAUA